AGCAGCCGCGGUAAUUCCAGCUCCAAUAGCGUAUAUUAAAGUUGUUGCAGUUAAAAAGCUCGUAGUUGAAUUUCGGGAUUGACACAUCGGUCGUGCCUUAAGGGGUAUGAACUGGUGUAGUCAAUUUCUCACCUUCUGGAGAACCGCGAUGCCCUUAAUUGGGUGUCGCGGGGAACCAGGACCUUUACUUUGAAAAAAUUAGAGUGUUUAAAGCAGGCAUUUUGCUUGAAUACAUUAGCAUGGAAUAAUAAAAUAGGACGGCACGAUUCUAUUUUGUUGGUCUCUAGGAUCACCGUAAUGAUUAAUAGGGAUAGUUGGGGGCAUUAGUAUUCAAUUGUCAGAGGUGAAAAUUCUUGGAUUUAUUGAAGACUAACUACUGCGAAAGCAUUUGCCAAGGAUGUUUUCAUUAAUCAAGAACGAAAGUUAGGGGAUCGAAGACGAGUCAGAUAC
rnacentral:rRNA from 1 species